GAUGAACGCUGGCGGCGUGCCUAAUACAUGCAAGUCGAACGAAACUUCUUUAUCACCGAGUGCUUGCACUCACCGAUAAAGAGUUGAGUGGCGAACGGGUGAGUAACACGUGGGCAACCUGCCCAAAAGAGGGGGAUAACACUUGGAAACAGGUGCUAAUACCGCAUAACCAUAGUUACCGCAUGGUAACUAUGUAAAAGGUGGCUAUACUACCGCUUUUGGAUGGGCCCGCGGCGCAUUAGCUAGUUGGUAGGGUAAAGGCUUACCAAGGCAAUGAUGCGUAGCCGAAUUGAGAGGUUGAUCGGCCACAUUGGGACUGAGACACGGCCCAAACUCCUACGGGAGGCAGCAGUAGGGAAUCUGCCACAAUGGGCGAAAGCCUGAUGGAGCAACGCCGCGUGGGUGAAGAAGGUCUUCGGAUCGUAAAACCCUGUUGUUAGAGAAGAAAGUGCGUGAGAGUAACUGUUCACGUUUCGACGGUAUCUAACCAGAAAGCCACUGCUAACUACGU
rnacentral:rRNA from 1 species